rnacentral:rRNA from 1 species
GAUGAACGCUGGCGGCGUGCCUAAUACAUGCAAGUCGAGCGAACAGAUAAGGAGCUUGCUCCUUUGACGUUAGCGGCGGACGGGUGAGUAACACGUGGAUAACCUUCCUAUAAGACUGGGAUAACUUCGGGAAACCGGAGCUAAUACCGGCUAACAUAUUGAACCGCAUGGUUCAAUAGUGAAAGGCGGCUUUGCUGUCACUUAUAGAUGGUUCCGCGCCGUAUUAGCUAGUUGGUAAGGUAACGGCUUACCAAGGCAACGAUACGUAGCCGACCUGAGAGGGUGAUCGGCCACACUGGAACUGAGACACGGUCCAGACUCCUACGGGAGGCAGCAGUAGGGAAUCUUGCGCAAUGGGCGAAAGCCUGACGGAGCAACGCCGCGUGUGUGAUGAAGGUCUUCGGAUCGUAAAACUCUGUUAUCAGGGAAGAACAAAUGUGUAAGUAACUGUGCACUUCUUGACGGUACCUGAUCAGGAAGCCACGGCUAACUACGUG